rnacentral:rRNA from 1 species
GUGGGGAAUCUUCCGCAAUGGGCGAAAGCCUGACGGAGCAACGCCGCGUGAGUGAAGAAGGCCUUCGGGUCGUAAAGCUCUGUCUUUAGGGACGAACAUCAUAUGUGUAAAUAAUGCAUAUGACUGACGGUACCUGAGGAGGAAGCUCCGGCUAACUACGUGCCAGCAGCCGCGGUAAUACGUAGGGAGCGAGCGUUGUCCGGAAUUACUGGGCGUAAAGGGCGCGUAGGCGGGGGUUUAAGUAAGGUGUGAAAACUCUGGGCUCAACCCAGAGAAUGCACUUUAAACUGGAUCUCUUGAGGGCAAGAGAGGAAAGUGGAAUUCCUAGUGUAGCGGUGAAAUGCGUAGAUAUUAGGAGGAACACCAGUGGCGAAGGCGACUUUCUGGACUGUACCUGACGCUGAGGCGCGAAAGCGUGGGGAGCGAACAGGAUUAGAAACCCGAGUAGUCC